CGGCGGGUCCGGCCGGCAGGGCCCCGGCAAGCGGCCACCAUGGCGCGGUCACCGCGGUGGUAGCACGGGGUCCCUGCUGUUGUCCUGCAGCGAAGGAUAAAAGAUCCGGGACUCCUGAGCAUAGCGCGCCCCGUCCCGGCGUUCUGCGAAGUCCCACAAGCGCACACGGAGAGCGCGAUGAAGUGGAAUAUCGGCUCCAAAAGCACCCGAUAGGUGACGGGAGAAACGUUYCUUAAACCUAGUGAGAUCUUUGGUGUACGUCCAAGAAUACAGUGUGCACUCAGAGGCUCGCAUUUACCUGAGUUUCCCACUCUAACCUGUCAAAAUGAGGACAAGGAUCGCUUUUUGCUUCCUUUACCACCUGCUAGGUUGCCUCUGGACCAGGAAAUCAGAAGAGACAUACUCAAUGGGCUAACGGGCUGCGCUAGCUGUACUGAAAAGUGACAUCCAUCCCUUCUGGAGUCAUACACCUCGCUCCCCCUAAAGAGCAUAUCUUACUGAAAUAUUCAGGAGAAAAUUUGAGGAUUUCCUCAUUCGGUCUGAGUCUCUGAUCUUCAGAUUGUUUUCAAUGCCUGUGAGCUGGAGAUGGCAAGUUGCUUGGUUGGCUGCUAAUGAAGCGUGCUGUGGAGUCUACCACAUUGCACCCUUUGAUGAAACCCUGCAGGAACUUCAGCUGUCACAAGCAUCCUAGCAAAGACACCUUCCAGCUCUAAGCUGUUCAAGACUAAAAAACUAUGCAAGGUCUGGAGAUCUGCUAUGGAGAAGUACCUAGAAGCUUGACUUUAAGCUGAGAAUUCAGUUCAGCCUAAGUCUCCUGAAUUUGGCAAAUAGGAUUCU
rnacentral:lncRNA from 1 species